GGUUGCAAGAAGUGAACCUCUGUCACCACGUCAACACCAAGAGCUGGCAUGGAGCGACCUGUCGUUGGAGCUGGAACUAUCAGAGUUCCAUUUCAACAGCGGUCGGCUUAUACUGCAAUGUAUAGCUGAAAUGGAGGAUAUCUAUCGAGAAGAGGCUGUGCUUAAGCUAGGAAGUGUCCGAGAUCCCGUCCCAGAAAGAGUCAGUGCAUUUUCUGAUGCCACAUCGAUUUCGUCGGAAGCAGCACUGCGAUUAGUUGUUAUUAUUAAUAUUUUAUUGAUGUUGACUUAGAAAUAGUAAGGAAUAUUUUGAAUUCAUAAAAGAAUAUUCUACUUCUCUUCUGUUCUUCAUGAUUCAUAUAAAUUUGUUAUACCAGGUUUGAAAUGUUAUAAUUUGUUUCUAUAAUAAAUUUUUACAGAUUGAAA